UCGAUGGCUAGAUUAUAGAAUACCCGUCCAUUUCCGAUACUGUUUAUUUUGGGGGGAUACGGUGAUACGCAGUGAAUGAAAUGACGUAAUUAUUCGAGUGUUUGGGUAAAUAUUAAGUUUCAAUGAUACGGGGAUACGGUGAUACGCAGUGAAUGAAAUUACGUAAUUAUUCUAAUGUUUCGGUAUCAAAAUAAACGGGGAAUCGUUAAUCAAAUAAUUAAUCUAUAUUUUCAAUAAUAAAGGGUUAUAAAUAUAUUGUAUUUCUCGUUCUUAAUAAACCCCGCACAAAAUAUUACUCCUAUAUAUAUUUUAUUUCUCGUUCUCAAUAAACCCCGCACAAAAUAUUAACCCCGCACAAAAUAUUACUCCUAUAUAUAUUUUAUUUCUCGUUCUCAAUAAACCCCGCACAAAAUAUUACUCAUAUAUUGUAUUUCUCGUUCUCAAUAAAUCCCGCACAAAAUAUUACUCGUAUAUUGUGUUUCUCAUUCUCAAUAAACCCCACACAAAAUAUUACUCAUAUAUUGUAUUUCUCGUUCUCAAUAAACCCCGCACAAAAUAUUACUCGUAUAUUGUAGUUCUCGUUCUCAAUAAACCCCGCACAAAAUAUUACUCAUAUAUUGUAUUUCUCGUUCUCAAUAUACCCCGCACAAAACAUUACUCAUAUAUUAUAUUCCUCACGUUCUCAACUAAACCGCGCACAAAAUAUUACUCAUUAGUAUAAAUCUCCUUUUAAACUACUCGAAUAAUUACGUCAUUUUAAUGACUGCGUAUCCCCGUAUCCCCGUAUCAUUGAAAAAUAAUAGUUACCCAUUCUCCUCUUAAACUACUCGAAUAAUUACGUCAUUUUAAUGACUGCGUAUCCCCGUAUCAUUGAAAAAUGAUAGUUACCCAUUCUCCUCUUAAACUACUCGAAUAAUUACUUUAUUUUAAUGACUGCAUAUCCCCGUAUCCCCGUAUCAUUGAAAAAUAAUAGUUACCCAUUCUCCUCUUGAACUACUCGAAUAAUUACGUCAUUUUAAUGACUGCGUAUCCCUGUAUCCCGGCGUAUCAUUGAAAAAUAAUAGUUACCCAUUCUCCUCUUGAACUACUCGAAUAAUUACGUCAUUUUAAUGACUGCGUAUCCCCGUAUCCCCGUAUCAUUGAAAAAUAAUAGUUACCCAUUCUCCUCUUAAACUAGUCGAAUAAUUACUUCAUUUUAAUGACUGCGUAUCCCCGUAUCAUUGAAAAAUAAUAGUUACCCAUUCUCCUCUUAAACUACUCGAAUAAUUACGUCAUUUUAAUGACUGCGUAUCCCCGUAUCCCGGCGUAUCAUUGAAAAAUAAUAGUUACCCAUUCUCCUCUUAAACUACUCCAAUACUUACGUCAUUUUAAUGACUGCGUAUCCCCGUAUCCCCGUAUCAUUGAAAAAUAAUAGUUACCCAUUCUCCUUUUAAACUACUCCAAUAAUUACGUCAUUUUAAUGACUGCGUAUCCCCGUAUCCCCCAAAAGCAAACACUAUCAAAAUUCAAAAGUGGCCGGGUAUUCUAUAAUCGCUC